rnacentral:lncRNA from 1 species
UAAAACGCAAAAAAAAUUGAAAUUUUAUUAAGAAAAGGAAAAGAAAACAAAAAACCAAACACACUUGAAGUCACAGAUCGUAGCAAACAACCACAACUUGCACAAAGGCUUCAACCCAAACCAUUAGUACAUCAAAUUUACUGCGCGCGCCAAGUGAUCGACGGAAGGCCUUAAUGAAAAUUUUCCAAUAACCUCAACACUCUUCAAAUAAACGACCCAGCUCAGCGACAAAGCCUCCGAAUCAACCACACCAUCCCCAGCGCCACCCAUCUCAUGACGAACUCAUAAUGAACAGAACGAGAGUGAUGAACUUACGUUGCUAAACAAGUGCUCCGAAGAUAAACCUCCGACGUCAAGCUUCGUUGGUGCGGGUGAAGAUGAGGAGAGAGGGGGUCGGUCUGCUGAUUUUUGGAACCUCGAUUCACGCCUAAUGAAUCGUGAUCGCCGGCGAGAUGGAUAAUUGAGGUGGCUGUGAGAAAGAAGUACGAUGCGGCGGCGAGCGUAGAGAGAAAAGAAAAAAAGACGGAAGAAUAUGUGCCUAUCAAAAUAAUGAUAUUAUUAACAAUAAAAGGAAAUUAUUAAAUAAGUAAAAUACAAUAGAAUAGGAAUUAAGUUGGGAUAAAGAUUAGCGCUCAAGAAAG